GAAAUGCGAUAAGUAAUGUGAAUUGCAGAAUUCAGUGAAUCAUCGAAUCUUUGAACGCACCUUGCGCUCCUUGGUAUUCCUUGGAGCAUGCCUGUUUGAGUAUCAUGAAAUCUUCAAAGUAAAUCUUUUGUUAACUCAAUUGGUUUCUACUUUGGUAUUGGAGGUCUUUGCAGCUUCACACCUGCUCCUCUUUGUUCAUUAGCUGGAUCUCAGUGUUAUGCUUGGUUCCACUCGGCGUGAUAAGUUAUCUAUCGCUGAGGACACUGUAAAAGGUGGCCAAGGUAAAUGCAGAUGAACCGCUUCUAAUAGUCCAUUGACUUGGACAAUACUUUUAUGAUCUUAUCUCAACUCAGGUAGGACUACCCGCUGAACUUAAGC
rnacentral:misc_RNA from 1 species